rnacentral:tRNA from 1 species
GGUGAUAGCUCAGUUGGUAGAGUGCUUGCUUUGCAUGCACAAGGCCUUGGGUUCAAUCCCCAGGACCA